rnacentral:misc_RNA from 1 species
AUCGUAGUAUAUUUUGUAAACAUAGGUCUUCGCAACACGUAUCUCGGCAAUCCCAAUUAUUUUCAUUUUUAAGCCUUUUUCCAACACGAUGUUGUGAUGGAUGAAGAACAUGUAGAAGAACAGGAAGGCAAUGCUAACAAUGGAGAACAGGUUGAACGUUUGCCAGCACUGAGGUCUUUAUAUAGCAGGGUCCAGAGUUUUGUUCGGUUUGUUAAUCGCACACAAAGGAGUGUAGAUGUUUUCUGGCUAAAUUAUCAAGGAGUUCGACAAAGGUAUAAGCGGCUUGAGCCAAGGGAGCAGUUGAAGAUCAGCACCUACGUCUCCCAUCCCUGGGUUUUCCAGGACUCGGAGACGACAGCCAAGUUGGUGGUCAACUCAGAAGACGUCUUUUUCCCCAAGCCGUGGUACGAGGUGAGUAAGGGGGCCUUGCAGGAGGGACAAGGCAUUCAGGGUCCGGUGUCUCCACGUCACAUCACUGUUUACAUUAGUAUUCCUCUCUAUACUCUAAAGGAGAGAGCAACGCAGGUGAUUUGGUCACACCUACGAGACCCGAAAGACGCCUACAAGUUAGACAUCCCUGCAAUACUCAUGAGUGGCAUUGCUGAGUGGGCUGCCUGAGGGGAUCUGAUUGUUCUGAGCUGUUGUGCUUUGGUUGCGCAAAAAGCUAUUCAAGAAGUUGUGGAAGGCCGUUGAAAGUAGAGAAGAUAUCAUACAAGAACCAAAAUGGCUGGAACAGAGAGGCUGGAGAAUGUCAACCCCCACAUCUUUGCCAAGGCCGGGGAGAGGCUAGCAAGCCCAACUGACUGGGAUGAUAGCGUAUACGAUCCAUUUGAUUCCCGUGAGAUCUUUGACUUGAUCAGGAAUAUUCGUGACCCGGAGCAUCCCUUGACCCUGGAGGAACUCAAUGUGGUAGAGGAGAAUCAAUGUGAAGUGAGUGAUGCAGAGAACUUCGUCAUGGUACACUUCACACCCACAAUCCCUCACUGCAGUAUGGCUUCUCUUAUUGGCCUUAGCAUAAGGCUCAAACUGCUUCAUGCAUUGCCUGCAAGAUUUAAAGUAGACGUCCGCAUUUCACCGGGCACCCACGCAUCAGAACACGCCAUCAACAAGCAACUCAAUGACAAGGAGCGUGUGGCUGCAGCUUUGGAAAACUCCCACCUCCUAGAAGUCAUCAACAAAUGUUUGAAUCCACGUUGACAUGUGCACCAUUGAUUGUUACUCUGAGAGGGAAAAUUGA